rnacentral:rRNA from 1 species
UAUGAAUAGUAAAUUUGUAAUCUUAGUAUUAAUAGUUAUGAUCUUUAAAUUAAAAGAAUUUGGCGGUAAUUUAGUCUGUUCAGAGGAAUCUGCCCUGUAAUCGAUAAUCCACGAUGAAUUUUACUUUAUUUAUGCUUGUAUAUCUCUGUCAUUGAAUGUCUUAUUAGGGUAUUUUCAUUAAUCUUUAUUGUGGAAAAUGUCAGGUCAAGGUGCAGCAAUGAUAAAGAAGAGGUGGAUUACAUUAAAUAUAUUUAUGGAUAGGAUUAUGGAAAUAAUUCUUUAAAUUGGAUUUGAAAGUAACUUUUAUUAGAAUAUAAAGUUGAUUUAGCUCUAAAUUAUGC